GACGAACGCUGGCGGCGUGCCUAAUACAUGCAAGUCGAACGAGAGCGACCGGUGCUUGCACUGGUCAAUCUAGUGGCGAACGGGUGAGUAACACGUGGGUAACCUGCCCAUCAGAGGGGGAUAACAUUCGGAAACGGAUGCUAAAACCGCAUAGGUUCUUGAGUCGCAUGACUCAAGAAGGAAAAGAGGCUUCGGCUUCUGCUGAUGGAUGGACCCGCGGUGCAUUAGCUAGUUGGUGAGGUAACGGCUCACCAAGGCCGUGAUGCAUAGCCGACCUGAGAGGGUGAUCGGCCACAUUGGGACUGAGACACGGCCCAAACUCCUACGGGAGGCAGCAGUAGGGAAUCUUCCGCAAUGGACGCAAGUCUGACGGAGCAACGCCGCGUGAGUGAAGAAGGAUUUCGGUUCGUAAAACUCUGUUGUUAGAGAAGAACAGCGCAUAGAGUAACUGUUAUGCGUGUGACGGUAUCUAACCAGAAAGCCACGGCUAACUACGUGCCAGCAGCCGCGGUAAUACGUAGGUGGCAAGCGUUGUCCGGAUUUAUUGGGCGUAAAGCGAGCGCAGGCGGUCAAUUAAGUCUGAUGUGAAAGCCCCCGGCUCAACCGGGGAGGGUCAUUGGAAACUGGUUGACUUGAGUGCAGAAGAGGAGAGUGGAAUUCCAUGUGUAGCGGUGAAAUGCGUAGAUAUAUGGAGGAACACCAGUGGCGAAGGCGACUCUCUGGUCUGUAACUGACGCUGAGGCUCGAAAGCGUGGGUAGCAAACAGG
rnacentral:rRNA from 1 species